GACGUCGAAUAUCAACGUCAUAAACACCAAAGUUGAUCGUGUUGAUGACGUCGAAUAUCGACGUUAUAAGCAUCUAAGUUGAUCGUGUUUAUGACGUCGAAUAUCAACGUCAUAAAUAUCUAAGUUGAUCGUGUUUAUGACGUCGAACAUCGACGUCAUCAACACUAUAGUUGAUCGUGUUUAUGACGUCGAAUACCGACGCCAUAAACACCAAAGUUGAUCGUGUUAUGACGUCGAAUAUCGACGUCAUAAACACCAAAGUUGAUCGUGUUUAUGACGUCGAAUAUCGACGUC